GAGACUUCGGAUCCUUGACAACAUGAAAGUGAUCAGAAGAUGUAGAACCUUCAGAAGACACAACAGUUCAUAUCAAUAGUAAGGGAUGUGUUUGAACAGAAGCAGAGCUCUGGGACGUGUGGACAGACUUUCACUGUAAUGAUGGACAUCCGCUGAUGGACAGAAGUAUAACCCCUGCUGGACAUCGUGCCGGGGCUCGGGGGGGACCCGAAUCAUCCCCACUCCUUCAUUCACACAACACUCACUCAUAUCACAGAGAUCUGGCUGGGAUUGAACCAGCAACCUCUGAACCAUGAGGCAGCACUCUAACCUGUGAGCCACAGAUCUCUUGUCUGAACAUGUGAAGGAGCCUAUAUUUCACUAUUCACCUGCAUGUGAUUCUACAAUAAAUCUGUCAAAGCUAUCAGAACACACUGAGGUUGGAUUUGAACCCAUGCCUCAAUUACAGCCUUAUCAUCUGAAAACUUGUGCUUAACCACUAACCCACUGUAGCUUUCACAUGUUGUGCUUAGCUUUUGUGGUACUUUGUUGGAUGUAAUGACGACAAUUUAAAGUAAGCAAUAGUGAGAUUUGGAUUCAGGUCUUCUAGAUGAAAGUCCAGUGCUUUAUCUACUGAGCCACUGAAUCUGUAGAGCGGUUUUGUGUUUUGGAUGAGGUUUUAUUAAUAACUUUGUUUGAAUUAAUGAAGAACAAUAGUAUUUGAACCCAGACGUUGGUGAAUGAAAGGCAAACGCUCCUCCACUAAGCCUGUGGCAUUUUACUAUUGUUUGACGUUUAUUUAAGCAACUGCAUUAUGAAAUAUUUAAUAAGCAAUAGACGCUCAAGUUUGAAGGCAAGCAUUUAUCCUCGGCUCCACAGAGUUUGUGACAACAGGUUUUACUGAGAUUUUGACUUUGUUUUGCAUGAUUUGAUCUCAGGACUCGCAAGAUCAAUGUAUUAAUAAAUCAGUCAGUCACUUCAAAUGUCAAACUCAAACUGAUAAACAAACACAACAUGUAAAUAACAUCAUUUGUUAAUUUUCUUAUUAUUAUUCUUUAUUUUAAUAAGAAACAUAGGGUCCAACAAACGUGCCGGGAAGUUUCUAGUGGUCCUAAAGGUCUUGAUUAGCUGCUUCAGGUGUUUUCAGUCAGUUUGGAGCUAAACUCAGGAAAGUGGCUCAGCAGGAGCAGGAUUAAACAGCCCUGUUCCUAAUGCAGUUUUACAGAUAAUUGCAGAUACACGUAUUGUCCACAAGGUGGUGCUGUGUGCUGACAAACUGAUCUGAACUCAUGCAUGUGUCUGUUCUAUUAAUUAUUAAAAAUAAGUCAAAACAUUUUGAUGUUUAGUCAUAAGUUUGUCAGCUGUCAUUUCAAUACAGGGUUUAAUUAGCAUUUGUCCAAAUCUGUCCUGGGUUCAAAUAACCUGUCAAUCUUUGCUAU